AUUGAACGCUGGCGGCAUGCCUUACACAUGCAAGUCGAACGGCAGCACGGAGCUUGCUCUGGUGGCGAGUGGCGAACGGGUGAGUAAUAUAUCGGAACGUACCCUAGAGUGGGGGAUAACGUAGCGAAAGUUACGCUAAUACCGCAUACGAUCUAAGGAUGAAAGUGGGGGAUCGCAAGACCUCAUGCUCGUGGAGCGGCCGAUAUCUGAUUAGCUAGUUGGUAGGGUAAAAGCCUACCAAGGCAUCGAUCAGUAGCUGGUCUGAGAGGACGACCAGCCACACUGGAACUGAGACACGGUCCAGACUCCUACGGGAGGCAGCAGUGGGGAAUUUUGGACAAUGGGCGAAAGCCUGAUCCAGCAAUGCCGCGUGAGUGAAGAAGGCCUUCGGGUUGUAAAGCUCUUUUGUCAGGGAAGAAACGGUGAGAGCUAAUAUCUCUUGCUAAUGACGGUACCUGAAGAAUAAGCACCGGCUAACUACGUGCCAGCAGCCGCGGUAAUACGUAGGGUGCAAGCGUUAAUCGGAAUUACUGGGCGUAAAGCGUGCGCAGGCGGUUUUGUAAGUCUGAUGUGAAAUCCCCGGGCUCAACCUGGGAAUUGCAUUGGAGACUGCAAGGCUAGAAUCUGGCAGAGGGGGGUAGAAUUCCACGUGUAGCAGUGAAAUGCGUAGAUAUGUGGAGGAACACCGAUGGCGAAGGCAGCCCCCUGGGUCAAGAUUGACGCUCAUGCACGAAAGCGUGGGGAGCAAACAGGAUUAGAUACCCUGGUAGUCCACGCCCUAAACGAUGUCUACUAGUUGUCGGGUCUUAAUUGACUUGGUAACGCAGCUAACGCGUGAAGUAGACCGCCUGGGGAGUACGGUCGCAAGAUUAAAACUCAAAGGAAUUGACGGGGACCCGCACAAGCGGUGGAUGAUGUGGAUUAAUUCGAUGCAACGCGAAAAACCUUACCUACCCUUGACAUGGCUGGAAUCCUUGAGAGAUCAGGGAGUGCUCGAAAGAGAACCAGUACACAGGUGCUGCAUGGCUGUCGUCAGCUCGUGUCGUGAGAUGUUGGGUUAAGUCCCGCAACGAGCGCAACCCUUGUCAUUAGUUGCUACGAAAGGGCACUCUAAUGAGACUGCCGGUGACAAACCGGAGGAAGGUGGGGGUGACGUCAAGUCCUCAUGGCCCUUAUGGGUAGGGCUUCACACGUCAUACAAUGGUACAUACAGAGCGCCGCCAACCCGCGAGGGGGAGCUAAUCGCAGAAAGUGUAUCGUAGUCCGGAUUGUAGUCUGCAACUCGACUGCAUGAAGUUGGAAUCGCUAGUAAUCGCGGAUCAGCAUGUCGCGGUGAAUACGUUCCCGGGUCU
rnacentral:rRNA from 1 species